GUAUCUGAAAGUUUGAUGCUUUGUUGUGUUUGUCUCUUGUUUAGGGAAACUGGGCAAUCUGAUUUUCCAUUAUCAUCUGCUCCUACCAAUGCUGUUGCAUCUUCAUCAUCUUCACAGUAUCACAAUGCGAUUCUUGUGAGUGACAGACAGGAACUUGUAUAAGGAGAUGAGAACUGUAACAAGUUGUUUGGGAAUCAUAUGCAGCUUGAAGGUUAGCUUUUUCAUAGGUGUUUAUGUUGGUGUAGAAGAGGACAGAAGCACUGAAGAUGAUGAUGGUUUAGGAGAUGCAUGGAUGGAAAUGUCAAUGGCAUUAGAAUCUUCAAAGGAGGUCGCUGUACAUCCUUUAUCUGAUCGAAGAAAGAAUGAGUGAAGGCUACAGUGAGCAUUCUUUUGUCUUAAAGGAUGAUCUUGGAUAUGUUUGCCGCAUCUGUGGGGUUAUUGAUAGAGCAAUUUAUACGAUAUUUGAGUUUUAGUAUAACAAGGGUAAGAUAUACUUUGAGCUGAUGGGAGAGGAAAGCAUCAAGGUAAAGACAAUAUUACUUCCUUUUAUUUCAUUUUCUUCAUUGAAUCGUAAUAACUAGGACUUUGUUACCAUAGUUUAGCUUAGCCCCAUUUCUUAAGAGUUGCUGUAUGAAUUAAAAUAUCAUGUGUGUUGAAUUGUUACUCUGUAGGACCUAUUUACUAUAGAGAGACAGAGUGGUGGAGAAAGAGGUAGAAACAAAGAAGAACAUAGCU